CCGGAGGCUACGGUUGCUCCUGGGUAUAGAAGUAGAGAUCAUACCGCGUCUUUCGCGUUGCCAGAGGAAGGAGAAGAUGAAAAGGCUUAUUGAAGAAGGCAAGGAAUUGAAACCGUCCAAACCUCGAGAGCCGCCUUGAAGGGACUGUUGUCCAGUUGAGUUGUGCUUCUCUGUCCUGACCAUCGACAUCAGCUGGCCCCAGCAGUCAGCCAAAGACGCCAGUUCCUCUAGGUAUGUUUCCUUGUAUAUAUCAUCAUCAUAUAUUGACUA